rfam:Pseudomonas alcaligenes NBRC 14159 DNA, contig: PA6012.
GGAGCGAGCCGCAUGGAUGCGGCGAGAGGCUUAAAGGGCCAAGGAUGGCCCUUUAAGCCGGCCCC